CCACACUGUAAGGACACAGUAAGAAGGUGACUAUCAAAAGCCAAGGAAGAGAGCUCAUGCCAGGACCCAACCAUGCUGACACCCCUCUCUUGGGCUUCCAGGCUCUGGAGCUGUGAGAAAAUUAAUGUCUGUUGUGUAAGCCGCCUAGUCUGUGGCAUUCUGUUACAGCCACACAGGAACACAGCUAGUUUCACACUCUUCACUAGCUUAUCUGAGUUCUGAGUGAGGAAUGAAAGCUGGAAAUCCUCCCCAGUGAGCAUUUUUAGGUAAAUUGGCACCUCUGAUGCUGGUUAAAAUAUCAAGUCUUUGAGGAAACCCUGUAGAUGGAGAAGUUAAUGCAGGGUCCCUUCAGGAAGAAUGUGAAGGUCACUUCCACAAGCAUGGUUUUGAGACUAGCAUAUAACAAGAAGUACACUGCCUUGUCCCUUCCUCCCUCCUCUUCUGUCUUCUCUGCUGCUGUACCACAUACAGCAUUCUUCCUACACUUCCUCACCCAAGACUGUGGAACCCUUAGGAGGCCCAAGACUGUGGAACCCUUAGGAGGAAGUCAGUAAGACCUGACACUUCCUAACUGUGCAGCUUGGGUAAAUUUCUGAGCCUCCAGAAGCUCGUUUUACCAGCCAUAAAGCAGACUGUUGUGAGGAAUAAACAAGUGAUAAGAAGACACCUGGCCCGUCUUCAGGCUGUAGAUUCUGAAAUAUGAAUGAAGGGAUGUGAAAGUGAUGGGCUCUGUCCUUACACCCAGCCCCAGUGGGAGCUUGGGCAGGGAGUGGGAGGAUGAGAAACGUCUUCAUUUUACACAACAAAGUGCUUCUCCAAGGGCUCGUAAAAGGCGCCUGCAAAAACCUCUGCCUUCCUGUGCCUCCCAGCCCCGAGGUUCUCAGGCUCAUCUGGCUCAACUGCGCUUUCUCCAGCGAUAACUCAGGAGCCCCAUUCAACCCGCGGAGUGGCAGGUAUAGGGUGUCACCCCUCAGAGCCCUGAGGAUGAGGGUGAGCGUCCAGGCAGCAGCCAAGCCCCCAAGGCUGGCCCACUGACACCGUGUGUUUUUCUAACAGCUUUCUUUGUUGACUUUAGUUCAUCAUUACAACGGCCACAUGAGCAAGUCUUUAUCGGGAACCGUAUCUUUGCUCUGUCACCUGCAAAAGGACUUGAGAACAAUGAAAACUACCUCUGCAGGAUAUUGAUUCUGAUGGAACAAAAUGUUGAUUAAGCAGAACAGUGACUUUUUUUUAACUGGAGGAGCUCCAGAUCUUUCCUUAGUCCCGUCUCUCCAGGGAAAUGAGCUUUAGCCUCAACAAUCUGCAGAAAACUCGAGUCAGAGGGAAGAUUUAUGAUGGGACGUGAUGGGCGGAAGACAGCUAUCUGGUAGGCCAUCUCGAAGCUCAUCUUUGUGUUAUUAGAGAAACACUCUCUCUCUUGACAGGAUAUAGUCUGGUUAUCACACCAUCGUCUCAAGUUUCAUUCCCCUUCUGCUUACAAAUGCCCCAAAUAUACAGAGAUGCAUUUCACGAAGACAGCCUUUUGAGAGGCAGUUUAUCCCAGCUGUUGCAGUCGAUCUUAAACACCUACCUUUUCACGCUGGUGUGGAGUUUACAUGUCGAUAAGCGUUAUAAAAAACGGGGGUGGGGGGCAGGGCGACGUUGGAAAUCUCAGCAAGGGUAAAGCACCAAGGCUGCCUGUGGGAAUUGAAGUCAGAAAAAAGAAAGAGCGCAGAAAGCUUGAUGUUCCAGUAAUGACACCCCCCCACCCCCCCUCCCGCGCCCUGGCCCACAGGAGACCCGCACUGCCUGGGGGCUGGGGGCUGACCCCAAACACCAGGGGCUGUAAACACUUUUCUAGUCACAUAAACAGGAUGGAUUCCUUGCCUGCCACUUAGGUGUUUUCCUGUUAAGGGCCGGUGGCAAAACAGAAGUGAUUAGAUGUAGGUAGAAAGCAGGAGAACCAGACGUGGAAGGUCUCAGGCUUCCCUCAGGAACUCUCUGUCCAGGCGUUGUGCACGUCCUACAGUGAUAAAUCCUCAGCGCCUGAUGUUGCCGCUAUCAUUUGCGCUCCCAGUUGGCCCAGUGGGAUUUGUUGGUCAAUGACCCGUGAGCUUUCUCUCACUCCUGGGUCUGUACGCAUAGAGAGCAGAAAGCUCUUGGGGAGCUGCUGAGAUUAAGUCCCUGAAGACUUUCAAAGUGGGGGGUUGGGGAGUUAGAAUUGAGUGUUAAAUGGGGAAAAUGGGAGUUCCCACUCUAGGACAGCAGAAAGGAAUCUGACUAGUAUCCAUGAGGAUGAGGUUUCGAUUCCUGGCCUUGCUCAGUGGGUUAAAGAUCCGGUGUUGCCCUGACCUGUGAUGCAGGUCCCAGAUGCUGCUGGGAUCCGGUGUUGCUGUGGCUGUGAUGUAGGCAGGCAGCUGUAGCUCUGAUUCAACCCCUUACCUUGGAACUUCCAGGUGGCACGGGUGUGGCCCUAAAAAGCAAAAGAAACAAACAAACAAAUAAGGAAAACAGGAGACUUGGGUCCAGAGCCUUGCCAGGGUCCCAUUUUAGCAGAGGGGGGCGGGGUGGGGGGGUUGUUGGAGAGGAAAUAAACCUGGGACUCCAAGCCCACAGGAUGAACGGUCGUGUUUGAAGUUGGGACUGGUGAGCUCAGGAAGCUGGCUGCAUCGGGUUCCCAUUAGCUCAGGCAGCGGCACAGUGGGUUCACACCAUCGACAUGGUAACAAUUAAGCCUUCUGCUACUGGUCCUUCCCUGGGGGUGAGGCUCUUUUGUUCCUCACCCAUGUGACUGCAAGUCGCCCUGGUUUCCUUAUGGCUCGAUUUCCUGCAGAUUCCCAUUACUUAGCAUCUAAUCUUCUGAGACCUCUUAUUAGACCACACAAAUGGCAGCAAUUGUCUCCAGCACAUAGACCCUGUCCCAGACCUGCAAUGCGCCUAGGAGAAAUGCUGUGUCUCUCUGAAAUGUGAGAGUUACUUGCAAUGUAAAUAGUCAGAUUACCAAAAAUCAGAGUUCAUUCAAUAUUAAGGGAAAAUAAAUUAAUUAUACAUGCAUACUCUGAAGCAUGCUAAAUUAUUCCUCCCCUACCCCUUGUAUUUUAAAGUAUGGUUUAGAACAAUUAUCUCCACCUUCAGUGAUGAGAGAGGGAAGGAAGGAACAAAUGACUGUAAUAUGUAGGGGAAAGCUAAAAAGAUAGAAAGUUCUGAUUUUUUUCAAGGAAGAAGAAUACAUCUCUAUAGAGACAAAGCCAAAUCAUAGAAAAUGUGAUUUGGGCUGAACUUUGAAAAAUAGGUAGAAUUUGGGAGUUUCCAUCACGGCUCAGGAGUUUCCGUUGUGGCUCAGUGGAAAUGAAUCUGACUAGCAUCC